AUUGAACGCUGGCGGCAGGCCUAACACAUGCAAGUCGAGCGGAUGAGAGGAGCUUGCUCCUUGAUUCAGCGGCGGACGGGUGAGUAAUGCCUAGGAAUCUGCCUGGUAGUGGGGGACAACAGUUGGAAACGACUGCUAAUACCGCAUACGUCCUACGGGAGAAAGCAGGGGACCUUCGGGCCUUGCGCUAUCAGAUGAGCCUAGGUCGGAUUAGCUAGUUGGUGAGGUAAAGGCUCACCAAGGCGACGAUCCGUAACUGGUCUGAGAGGAUGAUCAGUCACACUGGAACUGAGACACGGUCCAGACUCCUACGGGAGGCAGCAGUGGGGAAUAUUGGACAAUGGGCGAAAGCCUGAUCCAGCCAUGCCGCGUGUGUGAAGAAGGUCUUCGGAUUGUAAAGCACUUUAAGUUGGGAGGAAGGGCAGUAAGUUAAUACCUUGCUGUUUUGACGUUACCGACAGAAUAAGCACCGGCUAACUUCGUGCCAGCCGCCGCGGUAACAC
rnacentral:rRNA from 1 species